rnacentral:rRNA from 1 species
UACGAAGGUCCCGAGCGUUAUUCGGAAUCACUGGGCGUAAAGGGAGCGUAGGCUGUGCGGUAAGUCAGAUGUGAAAUCUCAAGGCUCAACCUUGAAACUGCAUCCGAUACUGCCGCACUAGAGUAAUGGAGGGGUAAGUGGAAUUCUCGGUGUAGCAGUGAAAUGCGUAGAUAUCGAGAGGAAGACCAACGGCGAAGGCAGCUUACUGGACAUUUACUGACGCUGAGGCUCGAAGGCUAGGGUAGCGAAAGGG